AAUAGAUACCCGGGUAGUCCACGCCGUAAACGAUGAGUGCUAAGUGUUAGAGGGUUUCCGCCCUUUAGUGGCUGAAGUUAACGCAUUAAGCACUCCGCCUGGGGAGUACGGCCGCAAGGCUGAAACUCAAAGGAAUUGACGGGGGCCCGCACAAGCGGUGGAGCAUGUGGUUUAAUUCGAAGCAACGCGAAGAACCUUACCAGGUCUUGACAUCCUCUGACGACCCUAGAGAUAGGGCUUCUCCUUCGGGAGCAGAGUGACAGGUGGUGCAUGGUUGUCGUCAGCUCGUGUCGUGAGAUGUUGGGUUAAGUCCCGCAACGAGCGCAACCCUUGAUCUUAGUUGCCAUCAUUAAGUUGGGCACUCUAAGGUGACUGCCGGUGACAAACCGGAGGAAGGUGGGGAUGACGUCAAAUCAUCAUGCCCCUUAUGACCUGGGCUACACACGUGCUACAAUGGACGGUACAAAGAGCUGCAAGACCGCGAGGUGGAGCUAAUCUCAUAAAACCGUUCUCAGUUCGGAUUGUAGGCUGCUAACCG
rnacentral:rRNA from 1 species